UACGGAGGGGGCUAGCGUUGUUCGGAAUUACUGGGCGUAAAGCGCGCGUAGGCGGCUUCUUAAGUCAGGGGUGAAAUCCUGGAGCUCAACUCCAGAACUGCCUUUGAUACUGAGGAGCUUGAGUCCGGGAGAGGUGAGUGGAACUGCGAGUGUAGAGGUGAAAUUCGUAGAUAUUCGCAAGAACACCAGUGGCGAAGGCGGCUCACUGGCCCGGUACUGACGCUGAGGUGCGAAAGCGUGGGGAGCAAACAGG
rnacentral:rRNA from 1 species